rnacentral:lncRNA from 1 species
CGCGCUCUACCUUUGCUGCUUGUGCUGCUUUCCUACAUCUAAAGAAAUUUUGGCAUAAAAAAGAGAUGAGUUGGCUGCUCUGGAAGCACUGAUAGCUGCCUCAACUCCUUCAACUUCUACACCUCCCGCUUUUCAGCCUUAUGUUCCAGCUGCACAAGCAACAACACCUUUACCUGCUCAGUCAGGUCCAUCUACUUCCGCACAGUUUGUCACUUUGGAAAAUUUUGAUGAAAAACUCAGUUUAAUAAACCCAAAGAAUGCAGGAGCAAUCCAGCCUUAUCGCAAUCCAUAUGCAAAAUCUCAUGACAUGGCUCCUUAUCCACCAGGGUACCAAAUCCCACCAUUUUCUAUGUUUGAUGGGAGAGGUUGCCCUAAAAGACACUUAUCUCAUUUCAUUACCGCUUGCCGAAACACUGCCACAAAUGGGUCUUUGCUAUUGAGACAAUUUUCCCUUUCCCUCGACGGUCCUGCCUACAAGUGGUAUGACAACAUCGGACCCGAGUCCAUAUCAAGCUGGAAACAAAUGCAAAGGGCUUAGGUAAGCACUCGGGUCAGCGGAUCGGCUUAAGAAAGCAAAUCAAACUACAAUGUCUUCCGUCUUAGAUUGUCUACAUCCUUCUUUCUAAUAAGUGAGAGUGGUUGAACCUAAACCAGCCUUUCUCCCUUCAAGCUCCCUUCGCCAAAGAAAAAGGCUGAUAAGAGAGUGAAAGACAGCAAAAAAAAAGUCAGCGAAGUAUAGCCGGUCGAGUACCACAUAAGGAGAAAAAGGUCAUCCUCUCAAAGCCAAUGACUUCCCCUUUUUUUUUCGCUUAUUCCACCUUACUCGUUAAAGUAAGCAAGAUGAACUACCUUACUCGUUAAAGUAAGCAAGUUGAACUACCUUACUCUAACAAGUAAGCAAGUUGAAUUACCUUCCUUAGUUAUUUUAGUUCGCUGCGUGGAGUGAAAAGCUUUCUGAGAAUCUCAACGGGGCCUUAAUAUCAAUAGAUUGCGGCUACCUUUAGUCUGCUGCAAUAGCCCCAAAGCCGCCCCGAUCAAUCACCUUGCCAAAAGCCAAAAAUUGAAACCUAUCUGGCCCCAAAGCUUGAAAUGCAAUAUACCUUACUCUAACAAGUAAGCAAGUUUCACUACCUUCCAAAAAUGAAAGGAAAGCUGCUGACUAAAGGUUACUGAAAAGCUAAAGCUGCUGCUAUUGCCGAUUAUCUGAGCUUGAACUAUGGCUACCAUAGAUAGGGAGGGCAAACAUCUCAUCACUUGCCGCUAGACCAUGGAACCUACCUUAGCCAUAGAAUGGGCGAACAUCUCAUUAUAUCUUUAGAUCUAAGGGACUAAGGUACCUUAGGCGCUUCCCUAAGGUAGCCCCGAAGGUUGUUACCGCUACUUCUAAGGUACCGAAGGGCUAAUCGAAGGGCUUUCGCUAAGGAAGCAAAAAGUCCUGCUAAGGACUCCGUGGGUUCCGCUAAGGAAGCUGACCGUAACUGGUUCCCUUUAAGGUUGUAACCCGGACCGAAGGUGCUGACUACCAGUUACCGAAAGCCGACCGCAAGGGGCUUCCUUUCCUGGCCGACCGAAGGUGCUGGCUACCAAUAAGGAAGCCGGUUGAAGAUGGUGCGCACGGCAUGGCUCUUGAGACUCAAUCCACUUAUCUCCCUUUUGAAUUAGGCCCUUAGCUUAGUAUAUCAUGUAGCCUAAUGAUAGUAGCAUCUUCAAGACCGGCUUUCCCUAGAAGCAUGGAUUGAGCCCGAAAGCCGCGCGAAGCCUUCGCGAUCUUCGAUACAGGUCUAACGCCUACACAUCCCCAUCUCCAUCGAAUCUUCUGGAACUGGAAAAUGN